CUCGGAGUUUGAUCCUGGCUCAGAUUGAACGCUGGCGGAAUGCUUUACACAUGCAAGUCGAACGGUAGAGGGGGCAACCCCUCGAGAGUGGCGAACGGGUGAGUAAUAUAUCGGAACGUGCCCAGUCGUGGGGGAUAACGUAGUGAAAUUACGCUAAUACCGCAUACGAUCUAUGGAUGAAAGCGGGGAGUCGCAAGACCUCGCGCGAUUGGAGCGGCCGAUAUCAGAUUAGGUAGUUGGUGGGUAAAGGCUCACCAAGCCAACGAUCUGUAGCUGGUCUGAGAGGACGACCAGCCACACUGGAACUGAGACACGGUCCAGACUCCUACGGGGAGGGCAGCAGUGGGGAAUUUUGGACAAUGGACGCAAGUCUGAUCCAGCCCAUUCCCACGUGCAGGAUGAAGGCCCCUCGGGUUGUAAACCUGCUUUUGUAACGGACGAAAAGGUCUCUAUUAGUACGGGGGCUCAUGACGGUACGUAAGAUAACGCACCGGCUAACUACGUGCCAGCAGCCGCGGUAAUCUGAUGGCGC
rnacentral:rRNA from 1 species